UACAAUCUUGUAGCACUUCAAAUAAUUCGUUGAAAAUUUCAGCUUGUAUUAUACAUAUAUAUCUCGAUCUAUACUUUGUUCGAAUUAUAAUACAUUAUUUUUUUGAUAAUUCUGGUCUUGAUAGGGAACUAGUCGUACAGCACAUUACCAUGUGUUGUACGAUGAAAAUCGGUUCAGUGCAGAUGCACUGCAAAUUCUCACCAACAGCUUGUGUUACACAUAUGCAAGGUGCACUCGCUCAGUUUCCAUAGUCCCACCAGCUUACUACGCACAUCUUGCUGCAUUCCGAGCCCGUUACUACAUUGAAGCGGGAGAAUUCUCCGACAGUGGAUCUGCUGCAGCGGGCCCCGGUGGAGCGAUGAGGGAGAGGGUUGGAGAGGUUCGGGCUCUGCCUGCAAUUAUGGACAAUGUUAAGGAUGUCAUGUUCUACUGCUGAUUUUGGUUGACUUAAAAAACUUAACUACAGGACUACAUCUUUUUGUCUAGAUUCACAUGUUUUGCUGAUUUUCGAUUAAUUUAGAAAAAAAACUACAUCUUUUUGUCUAUGAACAUAUGUUUUUGUAGAUUUCUCUUUUUCGGUGCCAAAAUAUGCUAUGAUACCUAAGGUUGUUUUGUCGUCGUAGGUUGUUUUUUCGGUGCCGUUUGGUUAAUGAUUCGCUGGCAAUGUUAUUUAGAAUCUUUGAACUUUGGGAUUAAAGGAAUUUGAUCGAUUUUCUUUUUGUUGAA